rnacentral:rRNA from 1 species
CGGGUGCGUAACGCGUAUGCAACCUGCCUCUUACUGGGAGAUAGCCCAGAGAAAUUUGGAUUAAUAUCCCAUAGUAUCUUAAGGCCGCAUGGUUUAAAGAUUAAAGUUCCGAUGGUAAGAGAUGGGCAUGCGUGACAUUAGCUUGUUGGUGAGGUAACGGCUCACCAAGGCGACGAUGUCUAGGGGGUCUAAGAGGAUGAUCCCCCACACUGGCACUGAGAUACGGGCCAG